UUGUAAAUCGCGUGACUAAGUAAGAGUAUAUGAAACAGGUGGCUAUAAUAAUGUGACAUACGUUAAAGCGUAGCACGUAUCCUAUAUAUACGUACACACAGGAAUUGAAGAAAGCAAACACACAUAAGAGAUACGUACGUUAGGAUGUACAAAAUGCGCAUUGAGUUAUUCAUUUGUGCAGUGAUUUUUUUUACAGGAACUUCCACUCGCGCAGCCUUGGAUGGAAACAAAACGUUACUCAAGAAGUUGUCAAUUCUACAUUAUCAGCUUUUCAACUCGAUUCAGAAAGGCAUGACUAUGUUAACGUCAGCGCACUUUGAAACCUCUUGCACAAAAAUGGGAUGCUCAAUUACCAAAUACCAAUCCACUAGAAGACCAGGUCCAGUGAUACCCAAGCCAAAGGGAUGCAGAAAGGGUUGGAAAGAAUACAACGGACAUUGCUAUAAACAACCAAGUAUUCCUCUCAACUGGUUUAAUGCACAGAUGUACUGCAGAAAACAUGGUGCUCAUUUAGCGAAAGUGGAUGAUGAAAGUGAAAAUUAUUGGAUCAGUCGUGCAUUUCCACUCAGUAAGUAACAUAAAUGUUAUGAACAUUAUCAUGGGCCUCAGGCUUGACCAUAUACAUCAUAAUGAUUAUUUUGCCUCAGUUGAGCAUUUCUGAUCAAAGUUUGUCUGUCAUCUCUGUCUUCUGUAAAAUAGAUUUACAUUUUGAACUUCUCAAAGACCAGUGAACCAAGUUUAACCAAACUUACCAAGAACCAUCAUUGGGUAAUGGGAAUUCAAGUGCUCUAAAGUGUAUAGGGAUGUUGGUUGCUUUACAUGAACGAACACUGAUUUUUGCCUAUAUAUGACGCUUGCUUUCAUAGCAGUGAUGAUGUUUAGCUCACCUGAGCGAAAGCCUCAAGUGAGCUUUUCUGAUCAAAAUUUGUUCGUUUUCUGUCGGCGGCGUCGUCGUAAACUUUUCACAUUUUCAUCUUCUGAAGAACCAUUGGGCCAAUUUCAACCAAACUUGCCACAAAGCAUCCUUGGGUGAAGGGCUUUCAAGUUUAUUCAAAUGAAGGGCCGUGUCCCUUUCAAAGGGGCGAUAAUCACAAAAAUGCAAAAAUAGGGUGGGGGUCAUUUAAAAAUCUUCUCCUCAAGAACCACUGGGCCAAAAAUGCUGAAAAUUUCAUGAAAGCUUCCUGACAUAAUGUAGAUUUAAGUUUGUUCAAAUCAUGGCCCCCGGGGGUUGGAUAGAGCCACAAUAGGGGAUCAAAGUUUUACAUACAAAUACAUAGGAUAAAUCUUUAAAAAUCUUCUCCAGACCCAGAAAAGCUGAGAUUUAGAUGAAAGCUUCCAGACAUAAUGCAGAUUCAAGUUUGUUCAAAUCAUGGCCCCCGGGGUUGGAUGGGGCCACAAUAGGGGAUCAAAGUUUUACAUGCAAAUAUAUAGGAUAAAUCUUUAAAAAUCUUCUCAAGAACCACUGGGCCAGAAAAGCUGAAAAUUACAGGAAAGCUUCCUGAUAUAGUGCGGAUUCAGGUUUGUUCAAAUCGUGACUCCCGGGGUUGGAUGGGGCCACAAUAGGGGAUCAAAGUUUUACAUACAAAUAUAUAAGGAAAAUCUUUAAAAAUCUUCCCAAGAACCACUGAGCCAGAAAAGCUUAUAUUUACAUGAAAGCUUUCUGACAGAUUUCAGUUUGUUUAAAUCAUGGCCCCCAGGGGAGGAUAGGGUCACAAGGGAGAUCAAAGUUUUGCAUACAAAUAUAUAUGGAAAAUCUUUAAAUAUGAGCCAAGUGAUUCAGGUGAGCGAUGUGGCCUUUGGGCCUCUUGUUUUUAUCGUGCUUUUACAUACCAUGACAGGAAAUCUUCGUUUUUAAGGUCAUAUUAGAAAGGCUUGUGACUUUCACUUCUACUGCCAGACGCUUGUUGAAAAAAGUCACUACUUGUGUUAAUGCGUCUUAGGUUUGACGUAGUGUUGAGAUUGAUAGUUGAACAUCCCCCCCCCCUUCCGCUCGUUGCGACGGGAGUGCCAUCGCCACUAUGAAACCGCGAUCUGGUGGAUGGGGUGGGUUUUUUUAAAUCCUCCGCUUAAGAACACUUAUAGAUUAACCAGACAGGAUAAAACUGUAAUUUAAGUUUGUUCAAACUUUGUGCCCUAGGAGCAUUUGGUGUCGCGAUAGAGGUUUCAAAGUUUAACAUAAAUAUCUCAAGAGCCACAAGAGCUUACAGGAUUGAUACACGUAGCUAUGUCCCCACCACUGAAAAAAAAAGCACAAAAGUCCCAUAACUCCAGUAAAAUUUGUCGAAUCAAAAUGACGGCGCAAUAUGAUCAACUAUAUAUAUAUGGUGACUAACAAUCCUACAAAAUCCGUUGAGCGGUUUCAGAGGAAUUGCGUCCACAAAGUGUUCCUAUAGUGUAGCAUGUACAAAUUCAACAAAGCCCCAUAACUCCUGUAAAAUUAUCGAAUCAAAAUGGCGGCGUAAUAUGAUCAACUACAGAUGGUGACUAACAACCCUACUCAAUAUGAACAAAAUCCGUUCAGCGGUUUCUGAGGAGUUGCGUCCACAAAGUGAAGUAGGACGGACACCGAUAUUUAUAUGUCCCCAACUUAACUUCUACAAAAACACCUGAAGAAACAAGUACAUACUGCUUUCAGAUCAUAAUACUUGCGCCAUUCGGUUGAUGCUAAACAGGGACAUUUAAAUUCUAAGUUUAGAACGUAUACUCUAAGUUCAAAUGAUUUUUUCAAAUAGAAUUAUUUGUCAAUUAUUAAAUAUUAUGGUUACAGAAGAACUUAAUAUAAUUUGAGUGAAUCUGAAGCAAUACACCCGUCAAAUCAGCAGACAAUAUCGAUCCAUGAAUCAUUGUCAUCCUGUCAGUAAUUCCUGCUUGUAAUCUCCGAUGUGCAUUGAUCUCGGAGGUCACCAGUUCGGAAAACGAAAGAGAGGCACUGAGCACUGUUGUAAACAAUUUAGCAAUGGCGGUUAAUACGAAACACUCAUUGCUUUCAAACAACAUCCCCUUAUUUAGUUUGCUGAAUUUUUCUUCAGAUUUUGGAGAUUAUAUUAGUUAUACUGAUCGGAGUUAAUUGAUGCAUAUUUGGUUAGUUGGAAAAAAGCCGUCAGUUACAUUUUGUAUUGCUUUAAAUUUAAUCAAAUGAAGGACCAUGCUACCUUCAAAUGGGAUGUGAUCAAGAAAAGACAAAAUAAUAGGGUGGGGUCAUUUAAACAUCUUCUCAAGAACAACUAUAUAGGCCAGAAAAAGUUUGAAUUCAUAUGUAAUCUUUCUGACUUUCAAGAUUCAAUUGGUUGAAAUCAUGGCCUCCGGGGGUAGCACAAUAGUAAAUCAAAGUUUUCAUGCUAUCUAGAUCUAUUGUAAAACUCUUUGAAUAUUUUCUUCUUAAGAACAGCACGGCCAUGAUUAGUCAUAUUGAUAUGCAAGAAUCUCCAAGAAGUGCAGAUUCAAGUUUGUUUAAAUCAUGACUCUCGGGGUAGGGUGGGGCUACAAUAGGGAAUUGAAGUUUUUCCGACAUAUUUGAAAAAAAAAUCUUUAGAAAGCUUCUGAUGAAGUACAAUAGGGUCAUGAUUAGUCAUAUUGAUAUGAAAAGGUAGUGCAGAUAAAAUUUACAAAUUAUGGCCCCUGGGGAUAGGGUAGGGCAACAAAAUGGGAUCACAAGUGUACUCGCAGAUAUAUGGGAAAUUCAUUAAUAAUCUUCUCAAGAAAAAGGACAUGAUUUAUUAGUGAUAUCAAUAUACAAGCAUCCCCAUGUAGUUCAGUAUCAAUAUUGUACAAAUUGUGACCCCAUGUAAUAGGAUGGGGUCACAAUAUGGGAUCAAAGUUUUACAUUUGAAUAUAGAGAAACAUAUUUUAAAAUCCUCAUCACAAAAAUAAAAGACUAGAAAUAGUCAUUUUAAGGAUGUACUCUAGUGGUAAUUUUACCGCGAGUGAGUCUCCAUACUUUUAUAAGUCGUAAAUAUGGGAAUGUGUGUUUUAUUUUGUUUGCCCAUAGUAGCACAUUGAUAUACAUGUAUGUUUUUGUUUAUCAUUAUUGUAAUUAAACUAACAAGAUUUAAUUUAACACUACAAUUAUUUUUACUUUUGCUUUCAUUUUAUGACAUUCAUGAUGGCGUUGCGAUUGUAAACAAACGCGAGCUCGAAGAUUCGCGCACUGGACAAUGUCACAUCUAGUUUAUUCUAAAGCAGUCCAGAAACAUACAAAGGCGAUUCGUUAGAAGUAAUAUGGCAGUUGUAUGACAGGCUGCAUCUGAUAUUCUCACAAAAAAAUGGUAUACAGAUUUUACAGACCUCGGCAAGGAAGGGGUAUGGAAAUCAUUCACUUUUGGCGAUGAAGCAGUGUACACAAACUGGAUUAAAGGCAACCCCAGUAAUUCUAACUCCCGUGAACACUGCGUGGAAAUAAACUGUGAAUACCUAGGUCUCUGGAAUGAUGUUCCAUGUGAAGCCGUUCUCAAAUUCGUUUGCGAAUCUUAUGGGUACAUGGAAUGAACUAUGUCUUCAGUUCUACUGCUAGAAUAAAAUGAACCACAGCAA